UCCGCAGCGCCGCGUCCUUCUCAAACGUGCCAAGCGAGACAGCCCCCUCGGACGACACGAGCUCCAGCUCGGCUCCUCGCAGCCUCCAACCCGCGCACACCGAGCGCGAGGAAAGCGGGAGCGGUACAGCCACCUGCCGUUCACGAGGGGUAGCUACACUACUGCAGAAAAACCCGCUCACGGUGAAAUACGGAUAGUUUUGCGCGUCUCGUCCACAUUUUCCCCACAUGCGUAGUCCCAAAGUCUCUCUCUUUUUUUUUUUCCUCUGCCGUUUUGUGUCAUGGAAAUCCGGGGAGAGCCCGGUGCUAAUCGUGAAUCGUCAAUGUUAUUCCAGAGCAACGCAAAGUCAGAAGAGCAGAAAACUCUCAGCCCGGCAGGAGUCACGAGGACCAAGCCCGUCGCCCCUCGCGGGUGACGGUCUACACACCUGCACCACACGCUAAAAAUAGAGCUACGUGACGGAGUGUUUCCGCGAGUGACACCAGGAAACACCAGGCAGUGGCAAUCGAUCACAGAGUGCGUGAGCGGCGACGGCGGGGCAUGAGUAAUGGGUCCCACCUGAGAGGAUGAAGAAGAUGCCGGACACAAAGGCCAGGAUGGUGCGCUGAGGCCGGAUGUGUCCGAUGUUACUGAUGACGAAGGCCGUGAAGACGAAGAGCAGCGACACCAUCGGGAAAGGUGUGGCUGUACGCACCAUCUCUGUGGGGACAGAGAGGUCACGGUGUUAAGCGAAGCUAAUGGGAUGUGUCCUUUAACUGCUGGGAAGCCACGAAGCACACUCUCCAGAGGCCUGAAUGCAGCGCCAUCUUCACCUCCAUGCUCUGGUUCUGCUGCAGGAUGAUGCCCUCCACCAUGAUCAGCCAGUAGUCUGUGGACACGGCCACCCCCACCAGCAGCAGCCCGCAGGCUCCGAACACUGUGGACAGGAUGGUCAACGCACGGCUGCUGCACGAACUCAUCUGGGGGGCAGAGUGGCGUAGAGAAGGGUGUUGGGGGAGAAGAGGAAAUGCACGUCAAAACUGCACAGACAAAAAUGCUGACAUCACCUCCAAGCCUCUCAGGAAAGAGAGACACCAAGAGAAAGAGGGAGUGACGGAUAAGAGGAGAGGAUCUGGUGAUGUGCUGCAGAAAACACCCAAGCAAGGAAGGCAGCAUAAAGAGGAGAGAACCGAGAGGAGGACGGGAACUGUGUUUGGAGGGAGUCUUAAAGGCGGGAACAGCUGGAGUGUACGGGGCAGAUAUAGUUUAAAGCAGAGAAAGACCUUGGCCCGAAAAUUGGAAGAAGUACCCAACAUGGACGCGCACGACGGGGACGCGCCUACACCUGUGCUAAACUAACCAACCUCAACUGUGCAGCGUCUCAAAAAUCUGCCUGAGAGGGACGAUGAAAUCACUCAUCAGAAUAUAAAGGACUUCAUAACGACUAAACGAAAAAUAUCGUGACUCAGUGGGUGGGCUUGCUCAUGAUUUCUCACAGCAUUUCGGCUGCGCAGCCACACUCCCAUAAAACUCGCACCAUUUUCACAGGGCAGAGCGGAGAGUUACACAUCCACAGCCUCUGUUUCCUGCCAAAUACAUGUAUGUGAAACGGAAUCAGUAUCCAAGCAGAGGACUGAAUGAAGCAGGGAUGUGCGCAUAGGAAUGUUUAGAAAGCCCCCCCCCCCCCUCCUGUCACACACACUCGCGGAGUUUGGAGAUGAUAAACAGAGUAGGGAACAUGUGAGCGACUCAGAUGGAAAAAAAAAUGGAUAAAAAUGAAAAGAAUCAUAAUAAUAAUAAUAGGAGCUGCUUAACGAUUUGGCUUUCAGGUAACAUUUCACUGUGAUUUUUCCAUGCGCUCUCAGAUGAAGAUGAGCAUCUGUCUUUACGCUAACGCGACAUGAGGACCCGUUCUGAAUGCUGCUGUUUUCACAGCUGUCACUACACACACACACGCACACAAGCAUUGAAAAUGACUUCGUCAAAUGAUGUGUAACGUGAAUAACACAAGUGUGAUCCAAAAGGAAAAAUACUCACCCUGCCACGAGAGUCGUGCGCACACGUCAGUAGCCAAGAAACCUCACACCAGGGAGGCUUGGUGGAUUUUGGUCUUUCUCUCUCUCACACCCCCUUCUGUGUGUUUACCCUCAAGCCCCCUUACCCAUCCUCUAAAUCCCUCACUCUCUCUUUCACUCAGUCUGUCCCAGGCACUGCGGUGGAUCGGUUCAGCAAGCUACUUUGGCUACAAAAGAGACAUACUGUAGCGGGAGCAGGAGGGACCAGUGUUGGAGAGAGAGAGCGAGAGAGAGAGAGAGAGAGGGGUGGGGGAGAGAGAGAGAGAGAGAGAGAGAGGUCAAACUACUACGUCUCAUCCUAUGUUACAGAUCAUUGUUUAAUUAUUUGUUUUCUCUGUUUCUUUGUUUUUCUUCCAUUAUAGUAUACUGUGCAGCAAUCUUCUUGUAUAAUGUUGAAUAAUUUAGUGUGUUGCAUAGUGUAUAUAUAGUAUUGUCAAAAUGUGCACACACAUUUUCUGUCUAUCUCCGUUUUAUUGGUUUUAUUAUUACAUAUUUUUAUUUUUGUGCACUC